UAUGCGAAAAACAAACCUUAGCUAGCAGUAUCCUGAGUAGGGCGGGACACGAGAAAUCCUGUCUGAAGCUGGGUCGACCACGAUCCAACCCUAAAUACUAAUACCAGAUCGAUAGUGCACAAGUACCGUGAGGGAAAGGUGAAAAGAACUGAGGUGAUCAGAGUGAAAUAGAACCUGAAACCAUUUGCUUACAAUCAUUCAGAGCCCUAUGUAGCAAUACAGGGUGAUGGACUGCCUUUUGCAUAAUGAGCCUGCGAGUUGUGGUGUCUGGCAAGGUUAAGCAAACGCGAAGCCGUAGCGAAAGCGAGUCUGAAUAGGGCGCUUAGUCAGAUGCUGCAGACCCGAAACGAAGUGAUCUAUCCAUGAGCAAGUUGAAGCUAGUGUAAGAACUAGUGGAGGACUGAACCCAUAGGCGUUGAAAAGCCCCGGGAUGACUUGUGGAUAGGGGUGAAAGGCCAAUCAAACUUCGUGAUAGCUGGUUCUCUCCGAAAUAUAUUUAGGUAUAGCGUUGUGUCGUAAUAUAAGGGGGUAGAGCACUGAAUGGGCUAGGGCAUACACCAAUGUACCAAACCCUAUCAAACUCCGAAUACCUUAUAUGUAAUCACAGCAGUCAGGCGGCGAGUGAUAAAAUCCGUCGUCAAGAGGGAAACAACCCAGACUACCAGCUAAGGUCCCUAAAUCUUACUUAAGUGGAAAACGAUGUGAAGUUACUUAAACAACCAGGAGGUUGGCUUAGAAGCAGCCAUCCUUUAAAGAAAGCGUAAUAGCUCACUGGUCUAGUGAUUUUGCGCGGAAAAUAUAACGGGGCUAAAGUAAGUACCGAAGCUGUAGACUUGCGCACAACUUAGAUUAUUUAAGUUUAGAAUAUGAGAAACUAAGUUAUAUGUUUAGUUAUAUUUUUACUGAUUUUUAUAGAGUAAAGAUAGAAAUAAAACUUAGUAAAAUCAGUAAAAAUAUUCUUAGACUAAAGUUAAGUAGUUUAAGUUGUGUGCAAGUGGUAGGAGAGCGUUCUAUUUGCGUCGAAGGUAUACCGGUAAGGAGUGCUGGAGCGAAUAGAAGUGAGCAUGCAGGCAUGAGUAGCGAUAAUUAAUGUGAGAAUCAUUAACGCCGUAAACCCAAGGUUUCCUACGCGAUGCUCGUCAUCGUAGGGUUAGUCGGGUCCUAAGUCGAGUCCGAAAGGGGUAGACGAUGGCAAAUUGGUUAAUAUUCCAAUACCAACAUUAGUGUGCGAUGGAAGGACGCUUAGGGCUAAGGGGGCUAGCGGAUGGAAGUGCU
rnacentral:rRNA from 1 species